AGAGCCCUGAGAUGUACGUGAACCACCGAUAGUUUUGAGCCAACACUUUAAUCUACGGGAGCCUGGGUCACUUGUGAGCGCACAUGCCCAAAAGGGACUUGUUAACACAAGUGCAGGGCACCCACCUGCCGAGAGCAGGUUCAAAACUUAGGGAGCCACGGCAUAAUGGGGCUCUC
rnacentral:other from 1 species